rnacentral:rRNA from 1 species
AUUGAACGCUGGCGGCAGGCUUAACACAUGCAAGUCGAACGAGCGGCGGACGGGUGAGUAAUGUCUGGGAACGUGCCUGAUGGAGGGGGAUAACUACUGGAAACGGUAGCUAAUACCGCAUACCAUCAGAUGUGCCCAGAUGGGAUUAGCUAGUAGGUGGGGUAAUGGCUCACCUAGGCGACGCUCCCUAGCUGGUCUGAGAGGAUGACCAGCCACACUGUGACUGAUACACGGUCCAGACUCCUACGGGAGGCAGCAGUGGGGAAUAUUGCACAAUGGGCGCAAGCCUGAUGCAGCCAUGCCGCGUGUGUGAAGAAGGCCUUCGGGGUGUAAAGCACGUUCAGCGAGGAGGCGGUACUCGCAGAAGAAGCACCGGCUAACUCCGUGCCAGCCGCCGCGGUAAUUC